rnacentral:rRNA from 1 species
AUUGAACGCUGGCGGCGUGCCUAACACAUGCAAGUCGAGCGGUAACAGGUGUAGCAAUACAUGCUGACGAGCGGCGGACGGGUGAGUAACGCUUGGGAAUCUGCCUAUUAGUGGGGGACAACCCGGGAAACUCGGGCUAAUACCGCAUACGCUCUACGGAGGAAAGCCGGGGACCGCAAGGCCUGGCGCUAAUAGAUGAGCCUAAGUCCGAUUAGCUAGUUGGUAGGGUAAUGGCCUACCAAGGCGACGAUCGGUAGCUGGUCUGAGAGGACGACCAGCCACACUGGGACUGAGACACGGCCCAGACUCCUACGGGAGGCAGCAGUGGGGAAUAUUGGACAAUGGGCGCAAGCCUGAUCCAGCGAUGCCGCGUGUGUGAAGAAGGCCUGCGGGUUGUAAAGCACUUUCAGUAGGGAAGAAAGCCGAGUGCUAAUAUCACUCGGUCUUGACGUUACUUACAGAAGAAGCACCGGCUAACUCCGUGCCAGCAGCC